GUGAAUCAUCAAAUUUUUGAACGCAACUUGCGCCGUUGAGUUUUAUCGCUUGUCGGCAAGUCUGUUUGAGAGCACCAUUUAACAAAUAAUGUGCGGGUCGCUAUGCAGCGUGCACACGUUGAUGAGCGUUUCCGAUAAACCAGGUUUUGUUGGUGGCGCAUAAUGAACAGCUUGGGAUUUUUCUUUCGAUUCUCGUGUAGUAAGUAAAUUUUCGACGCUGGGCUUGAGAAAAAGUGCGUGCCGUGC
rnacentral:misc_RNA from 1 species